CAGACUCACACACAUUCGACAACAUUUUUAUUAUUUUUCUACUUUUUAUUAAUCAGCAUGCCAGUUUUGCGAAGGACCUGCUGAUGGGAUGCUGGGACUCCACCUGCGCAUAGAGAGAAUGAGUGAGUAUCUUUAUUUUUGUUUGUUUCAUUGCUAUCAAGAGUGUUUCUUUAUGUAGAUCAUUCCUCUUCUCUUGCCUUUGCACCAACUGUAUUUCCUGAAGCUAACAGAGACGCUGAUCUCAAAUGCCAACACGAUCUCUGGCUCCCUCGCCCUCUGGGCCUCUGGUCUGUCUUUUUCUUUCUGGAGAAGGUUGUUCAAGUUUUUCCAGCCUGCAGGAUUCUUCCUGGUUUGCCAGAAGCUGUGUGAUAUGUUUGAUAUUCGGUUGUUCUUGUGCUUUAUAAUGUCAACUAAAUAUCAGACAUAUUCCUACAGAGUCCGGCACUGACUUCUGACCUUGCUUCAUCCCUGAAAAAAGGCCUGUGUGACGUGAGACGUUCUGCAAAAUAAAUAUGGCGCCAAUGGAAAUCUUUACAAGUACAUGAUUGCAAUUCUUAAAUAGCAAAUUUUUAAAAUAUAUACGUAAAUGAUUAAGCUUGAGAAUGAUCUCUUUAUACUCUGAAUGACGCAAAUAAAAAAAAUGAGUGAAUAUCGGCUUCAGCUGUCUGUCCACUCUUUCUCUCAAACACACGCAGGCAUGUACACAAGUACACAAUUACAAUCUUGUUACAAACAGCUGACACAGUAAAGACGUGCAUUGUUUGGUUUUUUUUUUGUUUGUUUUCUCUUUAAACGAGGAUCUGACUGCAUGGAAACAUCCUGCUUCAUGAGCAAAUAGGCGUUGCUGUCAGUGUUUGUCUUACCAGAGAAGAAGUCAGGUCUUUCACGUCCUCCUCUUUAUUCUUCCAAUCAUUUAUUUAUUUAUUUUUUACAUUUCAACAAUUGAAAAAAAAAUUAAACAAAAUAUAAGGACUUUAGGUAAUAUUCUGGUUCCCCAUCUGCUCUCCUGGAGAUUUUCUUUUCCCAUUUUUUUCUGGUAGGAAUGCAAAAUGCGAAAUUUUAUUUUAUUUAAUGUCUGACUAUUAAGUAUCUUUUCCCAUAAAAUGGAAUAGAAUAGCCUUUAUUGUCGUUGUACAUAGUAUUAUCAUGCAAUUUGACUUCGACAAAGAGUCCACCCACUGCAUUCCUCAAAGGACAUUUUAUUAUGCAAUAUCUUAUAUGAAUAGGCUGGAAGGAAUGUGUCAAAUGCAAAACUGGUGGAGCCGGUAGGAAAGAUGGUUAUCUCCUAUUUUCAUUCUUUCUUUUUUAAUUUCUUUUUAUAUUUUGCAGGUUUUCAAUUAGAUAAUGGACGUGCUCCCUAUGAACGAAUCAUACCGUACUUUGUGAUUAUUGCUCCCUUCAAUUUUUUUAAAGGUAGACUUAACAAACUGACAAACACAAUAAAGCAGAGCCCUCGCCCAUAACGACCAGCAGAAAAGUUGUUGGAUGAUAAGUCUAUGAUGAGACAGUGCACAAAAAUUCCAGUCCACUGUGAUCAACUGUCACCAAUCCCUCAAUAAAGUCAUGUAAGCUAAAUGUCAGUUUUUCCAGUGUGAGAAUUCCCAUUAACUCAGCAUAGCAGUACUUUGCUGUGGGUGCAUUCCUGGGACAGGUUUAAUAAAAUGAUUUUCUCUAUGACAAACAGAGCUAACACCUCUGUUUACUUUUAUUUAAGUACGUGUAAGUGUAUUACAAUG
ensembl:lncRNA